CCAAUAGCGUAUAUUAAAGUUGUUGCAGUUAAAAAGCUCGUAGUUGAACUUCAGGCCUGUCCAGAUGGUCCGCCUUAAUUGGUGUGUACUGUCCUUGGGUGGGUCCUACCUUCUGGCGAAGCGGCAUGGCCUUAAUUGGUUGUGUUGGGGAACCAGGACUUUUACUGUGAAAAAAUUAGAGUGUUCAAAGCAGGCAUAAU
rnacentral:rRNA from 1 species